AUGGGGCUGUCUGCCGCCGCCGGUCCAUCAGUCCUCGGGAGGAGCCUGAGGAGAGCCGCGAUGUCCUCCACCAAUGGCGAGGGUGGCUCGGCCACCCCCAAGACGAUGGGCACGUUCACGCUGCCCGCGGCCUUCAGAGUGCGGCCGUCGUGCGUAGACGUGAUGGUCGCGGCGGCCACGAGGAAGAGAAUGGCGAGAAUUGCGAGCCGAGCCAUGGCUGAGCUUUGGGAGAUUUUGGUCCCCAUUCCCGUCCGCAUCCCUGCCGCCGCCGCCGCCCUCCCAAUUCCCUCCGCUCCUGCUGCUUCCCUCCACCUCUCCCUCCUCCACGCCGUCAGGGGCGCCCUUCAAGCCCCACCUCGUCGGUUCCCCACCCCGAGCUCCUUCUCCCCCAUCCCGGGCGAGCACUGGAUAGGCAGAGGGAGUGCCUUGGUCGAGGGACAACGAGGCUCGCCGGCUGGGCGACUUCGAGCGCUGGAGGCUAGACAGGCACAGGCAGGAGCGGAUCCAUGUAGGGGCAUGGGUGCCGUCGCGCCAUUGAAGGCCUCCACGACGCCCUCUACCAGCUCGCACUAUUGCUCCGGAAAAUUCCCUUUGGAAUUGGGGAUGAAGGAAUCGAUUUCGAUUGAUUGGCGCCCCGCAGACGACGGGCGUGGGACGCCGCGGGAGGCGUGCCGCAUUCGAGAGCCACCGUGGAUUAUCUUCGAGGUGUCAGGCGACAUUCGCCUCGAGACCUACCUCCGGGUCUCUUCCCACAUGACCAUUGACGGGCGCGGGUAGCGGGUCAGGCUCACCGGCAAGGUGCCGAUAUAUUUCUUAAUCUGCUCGUUAUGGUUCUCCAAAUAUUUUCAGAGAAUAAAACUGGCUGAAGAUGGUGCGUGCAGCUUGCCUCUGAACUCGUAAUGUCCGGCCAUUGCAUCUGGGAGGAGCUCCUCUUCAGGAAGAAUGCCGGGACGUACGACACUGCUGCGACUGCCGUUCUCGUCCGCGUUUUGACUACACUUGCAG
rnacentral:rRNA from 1 species